GGAAGGUUGGCCGAGUGGCUGAUGGCACCUGACUGAUACUCAGGCAGACGGAAACGUCUCGCGGGUUCGAAUCCCGCACCUUAUUCGA
rnacentral:tRNA from 2 species